UUAUUUUUAUACGACCGCAAAAAAAUUUUGUGGUCGUAUAUUGGUAUGACUUUGGCGUCGUCGUCGUCGUUGUCGUCGUCGUCCAAAGACACAUUGGUUUUCGUACUCUAACUUUAGUUUAAGUGAAUGGAUCUCUAUGAAAUUUUACCAUAAGGUUCAAUACCACAAAAGGAAGGUGGGGAUUGAUUUUGGGGGUUAUGGUACCAACAGUUAAGGUAUUAGGGGCCAAAAAGGGGCCAAAAAUAAGCAUUUUUGCAACUUCCAGACAUAACUUGUGUGUUAGUGUAUGGAUCUCUCUGACAUUGUACCACAAGGUUCUAUAUCACAAAGGGAAUGUUUGGAUUGAUUUUGGGGGUAAUUGCCUCCAAAUUUUAGGAAUUGGGGGCCAAAAAUGGUAAAAAAAAACAAACAUUUUUCUAGUUUCAUGACAAUAACUUGUGUGUAAGUGUAUGGAUCUUUCUGAAAUUGUACUACAAGGUUCCAUAUCACAAAGGGAAAUCUGGAAUUGAUUUUGGGGGUAAUUGUCCAAAACAUUUAGGAAUAAGGGGCCAAAAAAGGGGCCAAAAAUAAGCAUUUUUCUAGUUUCCAGACAAUAACUUGUGUUCAAGUGUAUGGAUUUCUCUGAAAUUGUACUGCAAGGUACCAUACCACAACGGGAAGGCUGGGAUUGAUUUUGGGGGUAAUUCCCUCAAAAUUUUAGGAAUUAGGGGCCAUAAAAGGGCAAAAAAACAAGCAUUUUUCUAGUUUCAGGACAAUAUCUUGUGUGUAAGUGUAUGGAUCUUUAUGAAAUUGUACUGCAAGGUUCCAUAUCACAAAGGGAAAGCUGGGUUUGAGUUUGGGGGUAAUUGCCCUAAACGUUUAGGAAUUUGGGGCAAAAAAGGGGCAAAAAAAACAAGCAUUUUUCUAGUUUCCAGACAAUAACUUGUGUUCAAGUGUAUGGAUCUCUCUGAAAUUGUACUGCAAGGUACCAUACCACAAAGGGAAGGCUGGGAUUUAGU